rfam:Colius striatus contig6330, whole genome shotgun sequence.
GUACUUUGACAGCACAUACACUAAAAUUGGAACAAUACAGAGAAGAUUAGGAUGGUCCCUGCACAAGGGUGAUACACAAAUUUGUGAGGAGUUCCAUAUCUUU